CAGUUUGUGAUCCAGCAUGCUUUCCCCGUGAUAAGUAGUGAUCAAAUCCACCGGCCUAGUGCUUAUCAAAAAUGUCUCAGUAGAAGUCAUAUAAUUUAUUGCUAUUGUCACAAAUGAUAUGACCUGAAAGUGUUUUUGCAAUAAACUGUAUAUCACCACAGUAUUUAACCAGUUUUUACAUCACAUUACAUUUUUACAUUACUAAAGAGAUAGUCAGACUAGCUAUGUAACUACACCAUUAUAUUUGAUUCUGUUUGUGCAAUAAAAUUAGUCAAGAAAAAUGUUAAUGUAACGCAUGUGAUUCUUAUGCCACACAGUAAAAGGAAAUAGGUCAGGUGUACUUUUCCCCCCAAGAAUUACGGUAACUCCUCAGUUUACUUUAGGAGGGGCCAUUUGAAAAGAAAUGAUUUAUUGUGCUUACAGACAAAGACAAGGAAACCUGAGGUAAAUAAUUAGUCAGAAACGUGCUGCUGAUGGGAAAAGAUGUGUUCUGGUUAAACUGCUGGCAAACCUUUUACAAACAAGUUUUAUGAUCUGAUGUGAUGGUGAGUGUGAUGUACAGGAAUCAGGAAGCUUCAGCAAGUGCCACGGGAUGCCGUUUUGCAGCGAGGCACUAGUCAGACUCUGCCCCAGAGAUCUCGGGUGGGAUCCGCUCUAUGGACUCUGUGGAGGAGCUUUGGGACCGUUGGGACUGAGAGGAGAGAUGCUGCGAUGCUUGAGGGCUGUCCACCCCAGCAGAGUGCAUCAGGGUAGCUGAUGUGGGUCCCUUCUCCCCCAAUAGACCCUGAGGCUCAGACAGAAGUAGUUCUUCUUCAUCAGAUGAACCAGCACUGGAGGACUCCUCAUCACUGUCCGCCAACACACUGAAGAUGGGCCUGCAGGAAUAAGCAGAUGGAUGACAAAAAUAAAAGUGUUCAUGGAAAAUUUAAACAUUUUUGGCUUUAAAAAAGUUACAUUUAUAGCAAACUUUAUAUCCAAAGUGACAUUGAUUUAUACCCAAAUUUAAACCUCCAUGGUCUUGUAUAAGAAACAAAUAUUGCAGUUACUGUUAAAGUGAAAGUGUCCUGGAAAGAUUCACAAACACAACUAGACGUUUUCUAUCUCUGUGAAAAGCUUCAGAUGCACCACAGGCAGCUAAUGUAAAGCUUUGCCCACACAGUAAUCCCUACCACUGUGGGUUUAUGACAGGCAGGUCUACGCUAAUCAAUGUAAUGUGAGGCUCUGCUCUGUGGAUCAGAGACUAGGGUAGAAAGAGAAACGUGUAGGUGUUUAUUUGUGUGUAUGUGUGUGUGUGUGUGUGUGUGUGUGCAAUAGAAAUGAUGAGGAUGAAAAUACAGGGUUUAUUUGGACGAUUUGGGUCAUCACUCCCGCCACCAGACCUGGGCAAUAUGAUGAAAUGCACCUGAAGUUGAGAGAAAUACCGACCGAUUUUUAUAGCUUUAUAAUGUCUGCCUUGGUUUUGGAGGGACUUUCUAAAGGCUGAGAAAAUAUCCCUGGAAGGUCUAAUUAAAGAUGCUAUUGAGUUGCAUUAUGGGGAUUGCAGGCCCCAGUGUUUUUUGAAGUUCAAUUUAGGACUAAAUGCCAGGAUAUGCUGUAUGCUGUAUGCUACUUCGAUUUUCACCAUUAAAAAAUAUCUAAGUACUAAGUCACACUCAUCACAGUAUAAAAUUACAUAUAUUGUGAAAGAAAACCAGCCAGUGACACUGGUAGUGACUGCUACUACUACUACAAAUAACAAUAUCACAUUUCUAUACACAAUAGGAGAUUUAGUAGAAUUGGGAAACAAUGAGUUAAGCCAAACAAUGCUACUUAUUAAACCGUUCAGAAAAGC